UGCAUACUCCCCCCGUCCCAAAAAACUUGUCCCUCAAAUGGAUGUAUCUAGCACCAAGUUAGUGCUAGAUACAUCCAUUUGACGAACGAGCUUGGGACUAGCUUUUUCGGACGGAGGGAGUACAAA
rfam:Triticum aestivum genome assembly, contig: Triticum_aestivum_CS42_TGACv1_scaffold_094375_2AL